CUACGGGGGGCAGCAGUGGGGAAUAUUGGACAAUGGACCAAAAGUCUGAUCCAGCAAUUCUGUGUGCACGAUGAAGGUUUUCGGAUCGUAAAGUGCUUUCAACAGGGAAGAAGUUCUGACGGUACCUGUAGAAGAAGUGACGGCUAAAUACGUGCCAGCAGCCGCGGUAAUACGUAUGUCACAAGCGUUAUCCGGAUUUAUUGGGCAUAAAGGGCAUCUAGGGGGCUUAGUAAGUCUGAUGUGAAAAUGCGGGGCUCAACUCCGUAUUGCGUUGGAAACUACUUGGCUAGAGUAUUGGAGAGGUAGGCGGAACUACAUGUGUAGAGGUGAAAUUCGUAGAUAUAUGUAGGAAUGCCGAUGACGAAGGUAGCUUACUGGACAAUUACUGACGCUGAAGUGCGAAAGCUAGGGGAGCAAACAGGAUUAGAUACCCCGGUAGUC
rnacentral:rRNA from 1 species